GCUGGGCUCCAUCCCAGGACCCUGAGAUCAGGACCUGAGCUGAAAUCAAAAGUUGGACGCUUAACUGACUACACCACCCAUGUGCCCCUUAAAUGGAUUUUUUUCCCCUUAAAAUAGGGAAAGGGAUGAUAGCAUUCUCCCUGGGCCGAAUAGCUUAUAAAAGUCUGGUUAUAGGAAAAAAUGGUGAAAUAGGUUAAUUUUCUCAGCUGUUUCUGUGAAAGUAGAAGUUACAGGUAUUUAGUUUCUAUCACUAGAAAUAAUUUUGAAAUAUUGAAGCCCAAUAGAUUUCCAGGACAGAGUAAUUCACAGUGCUUUGUAGAAUUUGAUGAAGUAUGGUUUGUUUUGACAAACUUCCACGUUGCCUGCAAAAUACCUUGAGGAUUUGGGACAUGAGCUUUGACACAUGGUGUGGGAAAGGAUGAAAACACGAUGGUCAUGGAGAAUCUGGGGGUAUGGUCUAGCAUCCACAGACCUUAUUUGAGGGUCUAGAGCAGGUGUGAGCAAGUGAUUGUUGUAGGCCAGUUCUAAGCUGCCUCCUGUUUUUAUGGUUUGUUAGGACACAACCGUGCCUAUUUGUUUCCGUAUUAUUUAUAGUUGCUUUCAGCUACAAGGGCAGAGUUGUAUAGUUCUUACAGGGAUCCUAUGGCCUGGAAAGCCUAAAAUAUUUGCUAUGGGGGCUUUUACAGAGCAAGUUGCCAACCUUGGCCUAGGGUCUAAGUGUGUGAGGGAAACUGGAAAAGGCUUGUAAGAUCGCACCUAUCCCUUACUUUAAAAUCUAUACCUGAUGAGAAACAAACUGAGGGCCUCAGCGGGGAAGGGGGUAGGGGAAUGGGAUAGACUGGUGAUGGGUAGUAAGGAGGGCACGUAUUGCAUGGUGCACUGGGUGUUAUACGCAACUAAUGAAUCAUCGAACUUUACAUUGGAAACUGGGGAUGUACUGUAUGGUGACUAACAUAAUAUAAUAAAAAAAUUAAAAUAAAAAAAUAAUAAAAUAAAAUCUAUACCUGUAGUAUGUCCAUCAAUAUUAGCCAUCUGCGGGUCCAUGCUGGCCGUAAUUUAUAGUCACAGAAGCAAAUUCUCUGUGCAUACACUUUGAUUUUAUGUGUUGAUCAUUUGACUAAUGUGUGUAUACGUAUUAUUUAACUAAAGUUUAAUUUUGGCCCAUGUCCUGUAAUACAUUUCCACUUGAAACUUUCAAAUUAAUUUAGGCAUUUUUUUUAGAGAAUGUUUUUGUACUUUCAAAGCUAUCGUGGUAGAACAAUUCAAAUUUGGCAACUCACUGGGAAAGGAUAAUUUGUCUGGCAGCAGUUGAAGAAUUUGAAAAGUUUCUUUACCUGUUGUGUUUUGAACUAUUAAUCAUCGUCAGCUACAAUUGUCCUCACAAAUUCCCAAUGACAAUUUUCAUCCAAAUGGUGCUGUAUAUUUGAAUAGUGCUUUGUCAAAUAUUUUCACGUGUAUAUGAUUUCAAACAACUCUGUGAUGUAGGUAGGGUAGGAAUAUUACCAAGCACCACCUUUCCCUUUGUUUUCACGUGUGAAAUUUGAGGCCUAGGGGACACAAGUGAUUCCUUCCUGCUCACAUGGGGAAUUAGUGACAGCACCCUGGCUGGGAUCCUGUUAUUGUCAGUAACUGGAAUUACUCUUUACUUUUGUAUUUGUAUUUUGACAUACAUAAAAGUCAGAGAGAUUGAGGAAUAUUAAUUUCUACCCAUCCACAAAAUGAGGAUAGAAUCUUGUAGAACUGCUGUCAGGAUUAAAGAUCAUGUAUGAGUUUGCUGAGGACAGUGCCAGGAGCAGAGUAAACACUUUGCAAAUUAUGGCUACUGUUAUUAUACUUUUCCCAGGGUUAUGGGAUUGUUUUGAUUCUCUUAAUUAGAAUACACCAUUUAUUAGACUGUACCAUUCUUAACUUUUCUUUUCCAAAAAUGUAUAAAAACUGUUAGUCUCCGUGGUUACAGUUUUCUUUAUUCCCCAAGCAAGCUAACAGUAUUGGAACAAUUAAACUCUGUACAUUGUAUCAAACUCAAAUAAAAUGCAACUUUGGAGUUCAUGUUUCAGUUUUUUUUUUUUUUACUGUAGUGGUAUCAUUUACUUUGGUAAAUUCAUAUCCCGAUUUAAAAUGUCCCAAAGCAAAUAAAAUGUUUUUUUUAAUAAAUUCAAGUACUGUAUUUUAAAAUGUACAUGUUAUACACACAAGAGCUGCAUAGCGGAAUUACUAUAAGAAGCAGUUACAUUCAUGAUGCCCAGUACUGUUCUGAACACUGCAUGUAAAUUACACUAGAGAUAUUGUUUUAUUAUGAUUACUGUUGCUUAGUACAGUAACUUUAGUACAACCGUUUAUAUGAUUGCAUUUUUCAAAGCAUUAAUACAGUUAGUAGCAUAGCAUUUAACUAAUAUUGAAUGAAAACACUAUGUACAGGAUGUAUUUUAGGUCAGAUGCUUACACAGGAAUAAGCAUUUAACAUGCUGUCCGUAUCCUUGACAAAACAAAAUCAUCCCUUUUGCUAAAUACAAUAAGAGAGGCUAAAAGGAAUCUAAAGCAAUUGAAAAAGAAAACUUUAAAUUUUAUAUCCUUGUAUUAUGUUAAAGAUGAUUUAACAUAAUUUUCUCCUGGUUAAAAUACACAUUUUGUUCUGUGUGAAAUAAAGGAGAGAGAGAGAUUGCAAAGGCUGGUAAUAAAAAUGCUAAUUGAGCUGUAGCCCUUCAAUGAUACUUUAGCUGGGAAAAAGUAUGGUGAGUUGUACUCAUCAUUUUUUUCUGCUUAGAAAAAAAGUGAUAGCCUAUAAAUUUCUAAUGUUUUAAAACAGGUAUUUGUUAUUUAAGGUCUUAAAAUAAAAAUAUGCCUGUAUUAAACAAAUUAAGUUGUUUAAAAAACUUUGCAACAAUACUUGACUUAUUCACAAAUAGAUUUUCUGUCCAUAUUUAUUACAGUUUGAACAAUUUAAAAACAGAAAUCCUGCAAAUACUCAUUGCUUAGAUAACAAUACUUUUAUCUUAAUUCACAUAAAUGAUUGCAAGAAAAUUUUAUAAUACUUUACAUAGUAUCUUACCUAAUGCUCACAUUGAUUACUCAAAUUAGUCACAUUUAACUUUACAGAUGGAAAAGUUGGGAUGGUGAGGUUAGAGAACUCUAUUCCAGUAACAGUAGCGACAAGAUUUUCAUCUUUUGUUUGUGCCACUAGCCUUCUGAUUUUUUGUGGGGGAGGACACAACCUUAAAGUUCCUUGAAUAAAGUAACUCUUCUGGAAAUCAGAUCACGAUUACAAAAAGCUUUUGGCUGAAGAUUAAUUUAAAUUUAUUUAAUCAUCAAAUUAGCCAGGGGUGUGCUCUAUAGUUUGCUUGGAAUUGCUCAUGGAAAGUAAUUCUGUUAUUUUUCUAAGUAUGCAAAUGAAUGUCUCAAAAAAAUUUUUGUGUUUUGGUUAUGUGACUAGUGAGUCCUCUUUAAAAGUUUGUUUACAGUUGUUUUCUUUUUUAAGUAGAAAAAUCUUUUUAGAUAUAACCAGUCAUGGAGUCAUGAUAAAUAAGUCAGUGUGAGUCAUCAUAUAAUACAAUCAUACUUAAACAAAUUGUUCCCUUUCCUUAGACUAUUCAGCCACUGAGUGACAUUUCAAAGACUUAACCAAGCCAGAUGUACACUGACAGCCUCUGAUAAAAUUUCAAGAGGAAAAGAAGACUAUUCGGAGCUCCUGGCCCCACAGCAGAGUUUGAUGUCUUGAAGUGGAUUCCUGAAGUCAUAUCCAGACGAAGCUAUACCUGGAGAUCCUGCUUCACCGAAGGGAAAUGGGCUGUUAGUACAAGUGUCUUACUGAACUAAGACUCCAGACAUAAACAGUAGCAAGUCCCGCUGUUCAUGCUGUGGUUGGUGCAAAUUGGAGCCAGAGGCACUGAGCAGAGUCACUUACAGGCUCCGAGGAGGUGGGAGCCGGGCUAGUGACGAACUAGCAGGAGACAGACUGUCGAUUCAUCCACAGAGGGACCUGUGCCAGAAACUUGGAAACGUAACCUACUGACUGCCUUAGCCAACUUAAUAACUUGCUCUGUGUCUUAGUUCCCUCAUCUGUAAAAUGGGGAUACCUCAUAGGGCCAUAGUGAGAAUUGAAUUAGUUGACACAUAUAAAAUGCUUGGAACAGUGCCUGAAUGAUGUGAUCCAAAUUUAGGAGGUGGUUCUAGCAGCAGUAUGGAAGAUGAACUGAUAAAGGUAGAGAAAGGUUGCAAAAAAACCCCCCCUCAAAGCCACAAAACCAAAACAACCCAGUAGCUUUCCGACUUUAUUUUUGCAACCCAUAAGAGAAAUGCAUUUUUUACUGUAACAUUGGUACACAACACACACACACUCAUAUAUAAUGAAAGCGAAACUUUUGUAAAAUAAUAUUUACCAUUCAUAGCUAACAUGUACUUUACUGUUUUCUAUUUCAUUCCAUUUAAAAAUGCUGACUGUGACCUAAUAUUUUUUAAAGAUCUACUAACAGGUCAGAAUCUGCAGUUUGAAAAAUGGUCUUAAACUCACCUCUUAGCUUAAACCUUGUUUCAUCACAUUUUGUCUUCCAUGAAGCAUCUUUAUUUAUUUAGUCUGUCUUCUUUCCUUCUUUAUUUCCUUUGACCUUUCAAAGUAAAUGUACAUUAACCUGUCUCCCCAGGGGCACCUGGGUGGCUCAGUCAG